UGAUGCGAGCAAUACGUCUGUCAGUCGCUUGAUAUCUACAGAGGACGCACCAUGACCGGGGAAAGAGAUGAAAAAUUAAACAGGAGAGUGACCUGGCCUCAAUGGAUCGCCGCUUUCGGAGUUCUUCUCCUGGUGACUCAAGUGGGAACAAUGGGAGCCUGGUCAUCUCCAUACGUUUCUCAAUUAACUUCGCCAGAAUUUCCAUUCCCGGUCACGAUGUCGCAAAUGUCUUGGGUAGUGUCGCUGCUCAACCUUGGAAGACUGUUCGGCGCGAUCGGUGGUGCGUCCUGCAUCAACUAUCUAGGCAGCAAAACGACAAUUCUGAUCGCCUCGAUGCCUAUGGCGCUCUGCUGGUUCUUCAUAAUCGUAGCUAACAGCGUCGAAUGGCUGUACGUUGCCAGAUUCUGCGGUGGUAUCGGCGUAGGAACGGCCUACAGCUGUUUCUCCUUCUAUCUCGGUGAAAUAGCCGAGACGAGUAAUCGAGGAGCUCUCGUAGCGUUGGCUACCAGCGGAGUACCAAUCGGAAAUCUCGUCAUGAGCAUCAUGGGAGCUUAUCUACCUAUGAAAACAACGGCCAUGAUUUCUUUAGCUCUCUGCGUGGUCUUGAUAGUUCUCUUCGUCUAUCUACCGGAGUCUCCGCAUCAUCUGAUCAAAAAGAAUCUAGACGAGAAAGCGAAGUCGUCGAUUCGAUGGUAUCAUCGCGACUGCGACGUAGAAUUGGAAUUCAUCGCGCUGAGAAAGUUCAUCGAGGACCUCGGUAAACAACGAUUAUCGAACCUUUUGAAGGAUCUACGGACUGUUCAUUUCCGCAAGUCGAUGCUCAUCGGCAUUGUACUUACCACGUACAAUCAGCUGUCGGGGAUUAACCACAUACUGUUCUACAUGGAGUCUAUUUUAACGUCAGCGAAGAUCAGCGUGAUAGAGCCAGCACAAGUGGUGAUUAUUGUGAUGGCGUUCGGGAUCGUUGGAUCGGGAGUGUCCAUGUUUCUGAUGGACAGAUGCGGAAGGAAAAUGCUGAUGGUCUUAUCGUGCAUAGGGGUGACAUUGUCCUGGUGUCUACUGACAAUCGAGUUCCAUUUAUUGAGCUUUGGUUACGAUCCAAAGUCCGUGGAAACAGUGUCAAUUGUCGCGAUGUGCACCUUCUACACGACAGUUUUCAUCGGUAUUCUGCCCGUUCCGCUGGCGAUGCUCAGUGAAAUCUUCGCGCCGCAUCUAAAAUGCGUCGCGGCGUGUCUCACGAGUAUCCUAGCUGGCGUUGUUUCCUUCCUCACAGCUUUCACGUAUCUACCGUUGCUGAGUGCCCUCAGCGAACGAUAUCUGUUCCUGUUCUACGCCCUGUUACUGGCCACCGCUAUACCUUUCACGAUAUUCUGCGUACCGGAGACGAAAGGACUCUCCCUGCAGGAGAUCCAGAGUAAGUUGGUGGGGAAGAAAUUUCAAGAAUAGAACACGAAGUGCGGUAACGAUAAGGAGAAGAUUCCUUGCAAACAAAUCAGAGGAUUGCACGUGAUCUCUGGUAAAAGUUGAGCUCUGUAGGAACAUGUAAAAAAUGUAAAUACUCGUUUGUUAAAUACGAUCAAAGGUGUGAGAUUCAUUUUGUAAAUUGAACGAAAUAUCGACUGUGAUAUUGAUAUCGAUAGAAUGAACGAAGAAAGAAAAAAGAAGAAGGAAUUGUUACUUCGUAGUAGCUGUGUAUAUAAAUACCUACAAAGACACCGAGAAAGCAGCUUUCUCGAGAAGAUCGUACCUCGGUCCAAGAGAUAUUUCAUUGGAACCGAUCUCUCGAAUAGCGCAUCUCGAAGAAUUUCCUAGUAAAUUCAGAAACGAAGAACGAAGGCCCCCAACGGAUAAUAGAAGAAAAGGUCGCGAUGCCUGUUGUUCUUUUGCCCCCGACGUCCUUCCCCUCUAUUCUUUCCUUAACCGAGAAACGAUGUAGCUAUUUCUCUUUGGGGCGGACAUACGCUGGCGUAACGUCCACGAUGGAACUCGGCCAGUUUCAUAUUUUACAAGACGAUAUUUCAGUCUGGACUGAGCUACGCCAACAACGUUAAAGGUGCCACGGUCCCAGGGCGGCACUGUUGAAAAUUGGAUGCUGCCUUAUCUCGCCCGGGUCAUUGCACGAUGACUCUCGUUGAUGACCUUAUAAACACCAGAGCCUCGAUAAGGAUUUACAUCGCGGUUUCUUUUCUUUUCAGUCAAACUAACAAAGCCCUUCGUGGACCUCUCGUCGCCGGAGUUUUCCCCCGAUGGACCUGGCUAUCGUCGCUCCUCGCCCGCUUUCUCUCUUACGCUCGCCACAUUUUCUUAAAACUACGCUUGCUUAAAAUUACGAUACUACAAUAUAUUAUCCAUACAGCAAACUAUUGCAGACUAAACUAACAGUUGCGCUCGUUGGAAUUAUGAAUUACUUCCAGCGCUAACCAUAAAGAAAGGAAAAAUUCCUCGCGAAUGAAUUUAUCGAAUAGGCAAUACGAUACCAGCUAAAAUGUAUAAAAUUACGCCACGUUAUAUUUCCGUGACGGCGAACCGAACGUCAACCAGGCCGAAUUGAUUACUUAAACGUCAACGUUAUUUGAUAAUAAAUGUUUCACGUA
rnacentral:misc_RNA from 1 species